rnacentral:rRNA from 1 species
UACGGAGGGCGCGAGCGUUAAUCGGAAUUACUGGGCGUAAAGCGCACGCAGGCGGUUUGUUAAGCUAGAUGUGAAAGCCCCGGGCUCAACCUGGGAUGGUCAUUUAGAACUGGCAGACUAGAGUCUUGGAGAGGGGAGUGGAAUUCCAGGUGUAGCGGUGAAAUGCGUAGAUAUCUGGAGGAACAUCAGUGGCGAAGGCGACUCCCUGGCCAAAGACUGACGCUCAUGUGCGAAAGUGUGGGUAGCGAACAGG